rnacentral:rRNA from 1 species
AUGUGCAUUCCUACAACAUAGCAUUAAUGCACUAGAUCCCAUUAGAACUCCGCAAUUAAGUGCACUCAGGAUAGAGUAGUACUGGGAUGGGUGAUCGCAUGGGAAUUCCUAGUGAUUUACAUG